rnacentral:rRNA from 2 species
ACCGCAAGGCCUCAUGCUAUAGGAGCGGCCGAUGUCUGAUUAGCUAGUUGGUGGGGUAAAGGCCUACCAAGGCGACGAUCAGUAGCUGGUCUGAGAGGACGAUCAGCCACACUGGGACUGAGACACGGCCCAGACUCCUACGGGAGGCAGCAGUGGGGAAUUUUGGACAAUGGGGGCAACCCUGAUCCAGCAAUGCCGCGUGUGUGAAGAAGGCCUUCGGGUUGUAAAGCACUUUUGUCCGGGAAGAAAUCGCACCUGAUAAUACCGGGUGUGGAUGACGGUACCGGAAGAAUAAGGACCGGCUAACUACG